CUAACUGUAAACGGUGUACACUUGGUGUGCGAGGAAUUGUCCCUUUGCGCGCCGUAGCUAACGCGUUAAGUGUACCGCCUGGGGAGUACGGUCGCAAGAUUAAAACUCAAAGGAAUUGACGGGGACCCGCACAAGCGGUGGAGCAUGUGGCUUAAUUCGAUGCAACGCGAAGAACCUUACCUGGACUUGACAUGCAAGUGGUAGAACCCUGAAAGGGGGACGACCGUAGCAAUACGGAGCUUGCACAGGUGC
rnacentral:rRNA from 1 species